GUGGGAUAAUGGGUGCUGGUGGAGUGGUGGCACCUCUUACCAGACUCCCAGGCGAGGCGGUUCGGAGCAAGCUGCAAACCUAGCGGACAAAAUUUUCCCUCCCACGGGUUGCGGGCUGGGCGGCUGGCUCACUUAUCCCCUCCCAAUCCUAAAAAUGAACAACAAAAAAUGAGUCAAACGACUCAAGGUGGUGCAGUAGUCCAGACUAGUCCUUCAACUGCUCAACUCGGCAAACUAGUCUGCACGAGAUUUCUAGUCGAUACCCAGAAAUCUGACUCAUAGACUAGUAGUGACUAGUCGCUCGACUUGUAAUCAAUGCUUUGGCCAAAUAACCAGCAAGGCUACCUUCCCAGUCACAUUGUCAUGUUUCUUAGCCACACCAAGCAGUACAAGGUGUUCUUCUACUGAAACACAUAGGCAUUCAUGACAUAACUCAUUGUUCUGAUCCUGUUUCUGGUCACGGAGCUGUGCUAGAAUGCAAUUGGCUCCAUUCACUGCAGUCUGCAGUUCACGAUGUUGCUUGACUUGCUAGGACUUAUGGGGGCCUAUGCUGCUGGGAGAUGCAGGGAGGUCAGAAUGUUUACAAUUGGGUAUUACUUGUUGGCAUUUCACAUAUGUCGCACUUGAUGUAGUGUUCAUCCAGCAUCUAGCGCCUGGAUGGCUUCGAGAAAUAUUCAGGGAUAUCCAGAGAUUCUGGGAGGAUUCUACGUAGCACCAAUUUUCAGCAGAAGGCACAACAUAAGAGAUGAUUCAGAUGCUCCUCUCCAUGAUAAAGAGGAGGAACUGGAGCGUAACCACAGUUUCUUGCUGGUUGCUGCUACAUUGGCAACAGCAGUGACAUAUAUUGCAGGGUUAUGUCCACCAGGUGGCUUCUGGCCUGACAACAAGGGUAGCCACAUUGCCGGUGACCCGGUACUUCAAGAUUAAGUUCCUCUUUACCCUCAUGUUUAAGCCCUAGAUGUGUCAUACAGUAUUAAAGCCAUUGAUCAUGUUUUAGUCGUUUAUUGUUUCGGUUAAGGCUAUAAUUGCUAAGGGUCAGUGCUGAUAAGAUAAUCAUGAUACUUAAUCUAUACGGUUAUAAUUGAAUAUUGAAGGAAAUCCACAAAAUUAUUUCCCCAAUCCGAAACACUAACUCUGGAUGGCAAUUCCCCAAUUUGCGAAUCCAAAUCCACAAAUUUUGAAGCCCAAAACGAUGAAAUUAAAAUGAAGGGGAAGGGACUUGGGGCUUACCUACUGACGCUACUACGACGCCGUCUCUCUUGAUGGCCGGCAGGAAGAAAUGGCUGGCGGCGGCGCCGCCCUAUCGGACGCUGUGUGUCCCCUGGGCCGCACACGUCGUCUUCGACCACAAAACGACAGGUACCGGCGGUCGCCUCCUCACCUCGCUGUCGAGCGCCUCGUGCGCGUCGCCGGCGCGGACAGGCUCCUGAUCUCGCCGUGUGCUCAACACAGCUAGCGCCGUUCGGCGGAGGAGCGCGCGGCCUUGAGGCCAGGCACGCUACUCCGACAAACGGGGCUGCCGCACCGCCAUGGCCGGCGUGCCUCGGGUCGCCGCCGGGACCGCCUCUCUUUUUUUUCUAGGAAACCGCCUCUCCUGUUUUUCUUAGGCUGGCCCCAAGUAACUUCGGUGGUAACUUCAUGUCCAGCUCAGCAAAAUUUCCUACGUGGCAG
rnacentral:lncRNA from 1 species